ACGAACGCUGGCGGCGUGCCUCAUACAUGCCAGUCGAGCGGACGAAUCGAAAGCUUGCUUUUGAUUCGUUAGCGGCGGACGGGUGAGUAACACGUGGGCAACCUGCCCUGUAGACGGGGAUAACACCGAGAAAUCGGUGCUAAUACCGGAUAACACGAAAUGUCGCAUGACGUUUCGUUGAAAGACGGCGCAAGCUGUCGCUACAGGAUGGGCCCGCGGCGCAUUAGCUAGUUGGUGAGGUAACGGCUCACCAAGGCGACGAUGCGUAGCCGACCUGAGAGGGUGAUCGGCCACACUGGGACUGAGACACGGCCCAGACUCCUACGGGAGGCAGCAGUAAGGAAUCUUCCGCAAUGGACGAAAGUCUGACGGAGCAACGCCGCGUGAGCGAAGAAGGCCUUCGGGUCGUAAAGCUCUGUUGUUAGGGAAGAACAAGUAACGCAGUAACUGGCGUUACCGUGACGGUACCUAACGAGAAAGCCACGGCUAACUACGUG
rnacentral:rRNA from 1 species